AACAAACGCUGGCGGCGUGCCUAACACAUGCAAGUCGUACGAGAAAGUCGGCUUCGGCCGAUGAGUACAGUGGCGCACGGGUGAGUAACGCGUGGGUAAUCUGCCCCCCGGUCAGGAAUAACCCGCCGAAAGGCGGGCUAAUACCCGAUAACACUGACGCUCUGCGGAGUGUCUUUCAAAGAAGGCCUCUGUUUACAAGCUUUCGCCGGAGGAUGAGCCCGCGUACCAUUAGCUAGUUGGCAGGGUAAUGGCCUACCAAGGCAACGAUGGUUAGCUGGUCUGAGAGGAUGGCCAGCCACACUGGAACUGAGACACGGUCCAGAGUCCUACGGGAGGCAGCAGUGAGGAAUCUUGCGCAAUGGGGGAAACCCUGACGCAGCAACGCCGCGUGAGUGAAGAAGGCCUUCGGGUCGUAAAGCUCUGUCAGAUGGGAAGAAAUGGAUGGGGGCUAAUAUCGUCCAUCCUUGACGGUACCAUCGGAGGAAGCACCGGCUGACUCCGUGCCAGCCGCCGCCGUAAGAC
rnacentral:rRNA from 1 species